rnacentral:rRNA from 1 species
UACGUAGGGUGCGAGCGUUGUCCGGAAUUAUUGGGCGUAAAGGGCUCGUAGGCGGUUUGUCGCGUCGGGAGUGAAAACCAUGGGCUUAACUCAUGGCUUGCUUUCGAUACGGGCAGACUAGAGGUAUGCAGGGGAGAACGGAAUUCCUGGUGUAGCGGUGAAAUGCGCAGAUAUCAGGAGGAACACCGGUGGCGAAGGCGGGUCUCUGGGCCGAUAUUGACGCUGAGGAGCGAAAGCGUGGGGAGCGAACAGG